GAUUCUUGAAGGGAUUCUGCACUUCUGAGGAUGUAGAUCAUUUUCCCUAAGAUGGAUUGCAUCGAUUUCAUGUGUGGAGAUCGAAUUGGAACGAAUUCAAAACUAGGGUUCUUCGGGUUUCAAACCUUAUGAGGUGAUUGACGGUCUCCCUUGGGUGAACGAUUUCGGUGUGUAUUGUGUUGAAUUGAAGAUGCAGCGGGAAUAUCGAGCGGGUAAUCCUGCAGGUCAGGAGAAUCAGGGCGGUGAUCGAGCGGGUUAGAGUAUUUGUUAUAGUUUUACAGCAUUUGUAAUAGUGAGGUGAGUUAAGCUCAUUGAGCCUUACAAUUUGAUUUGGUGAGAGUGUGUUGUAAUAAUUAACUUGAGGAUUUGAUUUAUUGUAAUAUUGAGAGGUGUGAAGUGUGGUUGUUUGUGAGAAAAAAAUUCAGGACGUUAAUUGUAAUUGUUAUUAUUCAUGUUUCGGAUUUGAAUUGAUUAUUCAAAAUUCGGGGCGU